rnacentral:rRNA from 1 species
UGGCUCAGGACGAACGCUGGCGGCGUGCUUAACACAUGCAAGUCGAGCGAGGAACUUCGGUUCCUAGCGGCGGACGGGUGAGUAACACGUGGGCAACCUGCCUCACAAUGGGGGAUAGCCUUCCGAAAGGAAGAUUAAUACCCCAUAACACAAAGGAAACGCAUGUUUCUUUUGCCAAAGAAUUUCGUUGUGAGAUGGGCCCGCGGCGCAUUAGCUUGUUGGUGAGGUAACGGCUCACCAAGGCCACGAUGCGUAGCCGACCUGAGAGGGUGAUCGGCCACAUUGGAACUGAGACACGGUCCAGACUCCUACGGGAGGCAGCAGUGGGGAAUAUUGCACAAUGGAGGAAACUCUGAUGCAGCAACGCCGCGUGAGUGAUGAAGGUCUUCGGAUUGUAAAGCUCUGUCUUCUGGGACGAUAAUGACGGUACCAGAGGAGGAAGCCACGGCUAACUACGUGCCAGCAGCCGCGGUAAUACGUAGGUGGCAAGCGUUGCCCGGAUUUACUGGGCGUAAAGGAUGUGUAGGCGGAUAUUUAAGUGAGAUGUGAAAUCCCCGGGCUCAACUUGGGGGCUGCAUUUCAAACUGGAUAUCUAGAGUGCAGGAGAGGAAAGCGGAAUUCCUAGUGUAGCGGUGAAAUGCGUAG